UCCUCCUUAGCUCAGCGGUAGUAGCGCUUCACUAGUAAUGAAGAGGUCAGUCGUUCAAAUCGGCUAGGAGGAA
rnacentral:tRNA from 1 species